rnacentral:rRNA from 1 species
AGAUGUUGGGUUAAGUCCCGCAACGAGCGCAACCCUUGUCCUGUGUUGCUAACCGCAAGGAGGCAGCCUUCCAAGGUAUAGUUCAUGAUUGGGGUG